rnacentral:rRNA from 1 species
UAAGGAAUCUUCCACAAUGGGCGAAAGCCUGAUGGAGCAACGCCGCGUGCAGGAUGAAGGCCCUCGGGUCGUAAACUGCUUUUAUAAGUGAGGAAUAUGACGGUAACUUAUGAAUAAGGAUCGGCUAACUCCGUGCCAGCAGCCGCGGUCAUACGGAGGAUCCAAGCGUUAUUCGGAGUGACUGGGCGUAAAGAGUUGCGUAGGGGGUUUGUUAAGCGAAUAGUGAAAUCUUGUGGCUCAACCAUAAGGCUAUUAUUCGAACUGGCAGACUUGAGAAUAUGAGAGGUAGAUGGAAUUUCUAGUGUAGGAGUGAAAUCCGUAGAUAUUAGAAGGAACACCAAUGGCGUAGGCAGUCUACUGGCAUAUUUCUGACCCUGAUGCACGAAAGCGUGGGGAGCGAAC